rnacentral:rRNA from 1 species
GAUGAACGCUGGCGGCGUGCCUAAUACAUGCAAGUCGAGCGAACAGACGAGGAGCUUGCUCCUCUGACGUUAGCGGCGGACGGGUGAGUAACACGUGGAUAACCUACCUAUAAGACUGGGAUAACUUCGGGAAACCGGAGCUAAUACCGGAUAAUAUAUUGAACCGCAUGGUUCAAUAGGGAAAGACGGUUUUGCUUUCACCUAUUGAUGGAUCCGCGCCGCAUUAGCUAGUUGGUAAGGUAACGGCUUACCAAGGCAACGAUGCGUAGCCGACCUGAGAGGGUGAUCGGCCACACUGGAACUGAGACACGGGCCAGACUCCUACGGGAGGCAGCAGUAGGGAAUCUUCCGCAAUGGGCGAAAGCCUGACGGAGCAACGCCGCGUGAGUGAUGAAGGUCUUCGGAUCGGAAAACUCUGUUAUUAGGGAAGAACAAAUGUGUAAGUAACUAUGCACGUCUUGACGGUACCUAAUCAGAAAGCCACGGCUAACUACGUG